CGUCAAGUGGUAAAAUUUGGUGAAGAGAAAGGAGAAAAAAUGUUUGGCACGAAAAACAAGGGAGAAAGGCCCCCUUCACCAGUGGUGGCACAUCGCUCGAAAUGGUAGUGCCUCGAUCAGUGCAUUGGGCUCCGUGCACAAGCCUACUACGCGUAGGCCCCAGGUGUAAAGGGCCUAUCUACAAAGGCCUGUUGCUCAGACAACACACGCAUAGUGUGCGGCGCCUAUCCGCGUGCAAGGUGAUGCACU
rnacentral:lncRNA from 1 species